UUAAUAAGCGGAGGAAAAGAAACCAACUAGGAUUCCCCCAGUAAGGGCGACUGAAGCGGGAGUAGCUCAGGAUGUGAAUCGGUGUUUCGGCACUGAAUUGUGGUCUACAGACUGUCACGCCACGGGCCGGGUCAAGUCCCUUGGAACAGGGCGGCAGAGAGGGUGAGACCCCCGUAAACCUGGCCCACCGAGUGUACGUCAACGAGUCGAGUUGUUUGGGAUUGCAGCUCAAAGUGGGUGGUAAAUUCCAUCUAAAGCUAAAUACCGGUGGGAGACCGAUAGCGUACAAGUACCGUGAGGGAAAGAUGCAAAGAACUUUGAAAAGAGAGUUAAAGAGUACCUGAAAUUGCUGAAACGGAAGCGAAGGAAACCAGUGUUGGCCGCGCCAUAUUUUUCCGUCUGCUUGCAGGCGGGACGCUGUGGCAGGCCGGGUCUCUGUUGGCUGGUCUGGGUCUAACUGCGCAGGGAGAGUUGAUCCCUGCAUGCUGGACCGAGGCUGGCUGAGUAGCGACGAAAUGGUUUUCUUCUCCCCG
rnacentral:rRNA from 1 species